AUUCAAGAUGCAUUGCACUUAUAAAUUUAUAUGUUGAAUGAUAACUCCUUUGUACAACUGAAAAUUACAAAAGUAUAAUUUCAAAAAUUAAAGAAGAUCAAAAUGAUCACAGAUCUGUCCUGUAUAACAGGCCACAAGAGGAGAUUGCAGAGCAUUAAUGAAAAAUUCAUAGUUAGAAAACACCUUAAAAAGUCCCUUCCUAGACAAGUGUAUCUCACCUCUGUUUCUCCCAUACCAUAUACAUCAGAAAGAAGCUAGAGGAAUGGUAAGAAGCAGGGGAGACCACACAUGAAGAAACACCAGCAAAAAGGGAGGAAAACCUGCAUGAUCACUGAAAAUUUAAUUCAUGUCUACUUCCAAAACGCAUCUCAUCUUUUCCUGGUUUACAAAGAAGACCAGAAAAAAAAUCUCUUGGCCUACCUACUUAUGCAUGCUAUCAUAGCUAUUUAGAAGUAACCUACAUAGUAUACCAGCAGUCUCGUGAUCCACCUGUCCCAACAAAUACAAUUUAUGAUAAUGGAAGUAAACAAAAAGUUUUAACCCAAAAUCAUUGAUUUGGUAGCUCUAUAAAACAUGGUAUCAGUUAUCCCUUUAAAAUAAUCAUUUCCUGAUUUGUAAUUUGUAAUAGAAAUUACAACUACUUAUGAAAUUCAAGUUCUUAAAGCAGAGGAGAAAUGAAGGUUAUUUCUAUCGAAUUCAUACAGUAGGUUACUUACUCUGCUAUGUUGAGAUA